AUUGAACGCUGGCGGAAUGCUUUACACAUGCAAGUCGAACGGCAGCACGGACUUCGGUCUGGUGGCGAGUGGCGAACGGGUGAGUAACAUAUCGGAACGUAUCCAAUAAUGGGGGAUAACGAGUCGAAAGAUUCGCUAAUACCGCAUACGCCCUACGGGGGAAAGCUGGGGACCUUCGGGCCUGGCGUUAAUGGAGCGGCCGAUAUCUGAUUAGCUAGUGGGUGAGGUAAAGGCUCACCGAGGCGACGAUCAGUAGCUGGUCUGAGAGGACGACGAGCCAAACAGGAACUGAGACACGGUCCAGACUCCUACGGGAGGCAGCAGUGGGGAAUUUUGGACAAUGGGCGCAAGCCUGAUCCAGCCAUUCCGCGUGAGUGAAGAAGGCCUUCGGGUUGUAAAGCUCUUUCGCAAGGGAAGAAAACUUAGCCACUAACAUUGGUUGAGGUUGACGGUACCUUGAUAAGAAGCACCGGCUAACUACGUGCCAGCAGCCGCCGUAA
rnacentral:rRNA from 1 species